rnacentral:tRNA from 1 species
GGGCAGUGAGACUCGGGUUACUUCGUCUUGAAAACGACUGGUCGCCGGUUCGAAUCCGGCAUUGCCUG